CUCCCCAUUCCUUCAUCCUGAACAAAACUGCCCGCACGAACCCACGACCUUCGCUGGUCCUCCUCUGCUACCCACGCCUCCCGCAGAUCCUCCGCUCGGCCACUCCCCACAGAUCCUCUGCUGUCCCACGACGCGACCGCGGACUGCCGCCGCCGAUGAUCCCAUCUGAUGGCGGCGCCGACCCAUCCCUGGCGCUGGAUGCGGUGACCUCCGGUAGAGGCACGCCCAGCCGUGCCUUCCCGAGCACAGUCUCGCCGGGAUGCCUCCGCUCCUCCGGCAGCGCCGCGCCCGUCCGCCGCAGCCCGCCGGCGAGGGCACAAUCGGUGCCGACCUGCACGCGCAAGGGGAGGCGGCAGGAGCAGUCGUGCAAGGGCAGGACCAGCUGUGCGGUCAAUCGAGCGAUCCUUUUUCAUCUUGGCCGCCAUGUCCCCCGCCAUGGACGACGCCCGCUGUGGCGAUCUCCACCCCGGCGACCAGCUCUGCCUCGCCUACCAAAUCAAAUCUACGAACUAAGGUUGAUUUCUAUGACUUCAGUUCGCUGGUGGUACUGGCAUAACGCUUAUGUUGCAGGCUUCUCCAGAAUGAUUCCUCACAAGAGAUAUCUCAACCAGUCAUAAGUUAGCCUGAAGACAUAUGGUGCAGAUACUCUUCCUUGGUAUAAGAGAUACUUUCGACUAAGCACACGCGCAAUGUUACAUUUGAGUAAGGGAUUACCAUGUUCUCUGAAUUUUCUACCCGACAGAUAUGUUCAACUAUAGUUAGAGUAUUCCGACAAAGGGUUUACCCCCGCUUUAUAUUAUAAAGCAUCCGGAUAUUUAGAGUAUUAUACAUCUCUAAUCUGCAUAUUUGAAACCAACAUGAUAAUGUUCCAUACUUCUUAAGCCAUUUUGGUGCCACCUAUUGUACCAUCAUUUUUUGCUUCAGGUAUUGUCCUUAUUUCCAAACAAUUCCAUUGUCUUCGCUUUCUCUACUCACAUGUGUUUUUUAGUCUUCCUCUCACUCUUUUGAGCUUCUACAGAACUGAUGUCUAACUGCUAUGUUUACCCUUCUGAAUAAUACCCUUAUCAAGUUUUCAGCUUUUAAUGUAAAACCGUAACCAAUUACCGAAAUUUUGGAGUUCUUUUUCACCUUUUCUUGUCCGGUUGUGGAUAAAAAAAACUUAUGCUGAAUCAUUACGUCUCCAGACGAGCAGUGCAGAUUUGAGAGUUGGGUUAUUUGUCAAAAGUUUUCCGUUUUAUCCAUACAAUAGAAAAAUUAGUUUUACAUAAUUUGAAUGUGUGCUCACAUGAGCUUGUAAACUUCUCUCAUGUGUCCACACAAGGGCGGAGGGAAGAUUCUUUCUGUGAAGAAACCUAUUUUGUAUGAAGUUGUAGUUGAUUUUGUCGGACUGGGAAGUGAUGGAUGCACCAAGUAGGUGGUCUUUAUUUCUGGGAUUAGAAUUUUCAAAAGGACUGUUUCUUCUCACCUUGAUCUUGUGAUCUAAUGAAACUUAUUCCUGAUUUUGAUCAGGGACACAACAGUGAAGAUGUUUUUGAAUUUCGUGCUGUAGCUAAAUGAACGAUUAUUAGAUAUUGGAGAAUUAACGAGGUAUGGCUACUGCCAAGCAUGCUUUCAGAAGUACACGAUUCAAGAGAUUUUCUAUUUUGGCAGAAGUUAGUGUGCCUACUAACAAGUGUGCUCUGAAAAUUAGUCAAUUACUGCACCAGCUGGACUUAUAGAUCGGUUCACAAGGUUCUUUCUGGAUAGUAGUUAUGGUUUUAAUACACUUAAAACAUGUAUGGUUAUUUGAUUCAUGAACAAAACAAAUAUAUUCUCUUUUGAGCUUUGGGCAUUUCACAUAUGACCAUUGUACUGUUGCACUAUUACUACCACCUAUGUGAAAGGUAAAUAAACCUUUCAGCAACAUAUGUUGGUAUAAUUCUCUCCCAACUAGCAUUAUAUGCCAUAUAUAGUUGUUUUUUUACUGAAAUGUUAGGAGCCUCGUGUAUAAGGUAUGCAGAAAUUCUCACUUUGAGGAAGUGAUUAAUUCUUCAUGUGCAGUAACCUGGAGAGAUGGUGCUGGUGGAUUCUAACCGCAAGGUGAGUGGCUUGAUCCUUCAUUAAUCAUGUUUAAUUUUAGAGAAAAGUAUAUUUUUCGUCCCUCAACUUUUGACGGAGUCUAGAUUUGGUCCCUCAUUUUCGAAACUGGACAACUUGCACCCCCAACUACUAAAACCGGACAAAAUUUAUCCCUGGUCUUGGUUUUGAGCGGUUUUGAUGCUGGCUCACCCCGGUUUUGACCGAUGCUGACUUAAAUACAUGUAUAUCUUUCAAAUAUGUGAAUCUUUUGAAAUUCAAGUACUUUUUCCAAAUCUCUGUACUUUUUCACGUUUGCGUUAAAAUUUCAAAUUCACAUACCUUUUUGAAAUCCGCACUAUUUUCAAAUCCACAUACUUUUUCAAGUUCACAUAAUUUUCCAAAUUCGCAUACUUUUUUCUAGUUCGCAUAUUUUUCUCGGAUCCGCGUACUUUUUUCAUGUUUGUGUACUGCUUUCAAAUCCGUGUACUUUUUCAAAUUCAUGAACUUUUAUAGAAAGUACACGGAUCUGAAAAAAAACACUUGAACUUGAAAAUGGUAUGCAGACCUAAAUAAAAUAAACUGAUUUGAAGAAAGUACGCGAAUUUGAGUCAAAGCACGGUCAAAACCGGCAAAAGUCAGCACCAAAACCGGUCAAAACCAUGUUCAAGGACGAACCUUGUCCGGUUUUAGUAGUUCAGAGUGCAAGUUGUCCGGUUUCGUAGUUGAGGGACCAAAUCUAGACUAUGCCAAAAGUUGAGGGACGAAAAGUAUACUUUUCUCUUAAUUUUAAAUGGAUGUGAAGUGAUUGUCCUAGAUCAAUGGGUGAUUUAUGUGCAAAUGCUACAGUCGAAGACAUGCAGUUGCUUGCCGUCGAUGAAGCGACAUCAACAUGGGUAGCUGAUCCAGUCAUCUAUUAGUCUGUUCGUCUUUCUUCCUUGCACUUUGUUCUUCAGUCAUGUGUUGGGCAUCCUUCCCCAUGCUACUGACUCAAUGGUGUCGCUAGCCCAUGCUUCUGACUCUCCAGACAUAUACUCACUUCUUAGAAAUCCCAUGGCAAUUGCUUUCAUGUGAA